UUCCGCCUUCUCUCUCACCUACUUGCCAUCACCAUGAAGUAAAUCCCAUCAGGGCUCCAGGUUCCCGGAGAGAGACUGAGGCCUAAGGAAGUUGGGACUUGGUCUGAAGUCACAAAGCUGGGAAGAGUCUGAUCUCAGUGUGACCAGGAGGCCUCUGCAUGUGGUACCUGUCAAGCCCUUGCCCUUGUCCUGGGCUACUGGUGGUCCUCUGAACGCAACAUGCCCACUUCUUGGGCAUGUGGAUCCUUGGGCUCCUGUGGAUCCUUCCAUACUCCGUUCCCUUCUGCAAUGCCUUCUAGGAUCCCACGGGCAAGCGGAAGAGCUGUCAACAGUAUGCUCAUCAGACCACAGGUAUUUUUGAUCCAUGGUCAGUUGAAUCCAUGGAUGUGGAACCCAGGGACGUGGAGAGCUGAUCAUAUAUGCGAGCCUUUCUUUCUUUAUGUUCACACAGGUUUGAGGAUUGGCUGAGAAGCUCUGGUUCAAGUUGCAGGCUGGUGUGGCUUUGGUUUCAGGUGCUGUAUCCCCGUAUGUAAAUAGUGUGUUCAAGAUGCAGUUGGCAACAUCCAGACUGGAUCCACUGCCUUCUGCCCUGUCCUUGAAAUUGCCCUUUCUUCUGCCUGGACUGCAUAUCCACAGCUCCCUUGCUCCUCUCUGAUCCACAGCCAAGAUGCCCAUGCCUCUGAGAUGCUCUGAACUUCAAUCAUACACCCAUUUUUACCUAUAUGGGAUCAUCCCUUCUUCCAGACACGUUCCUCCAGUCUGGAAUAGUUCUUGGUACAUGGAAGCAUACAAUCAUUACUGGUGGGAUGAAUAUAUAAAUGAAUUCAAGAAGAAGGUGCAACACUGUGAAACCUCGAUGUGGUUGAUGUCUCCAGUGUUUCUGGGCUAAGUAACCUGGCUGAGCCAUUUCGCCUCCUAAGACUCACUUUUCCGUCUGUAAAAUGGAAAUAUGAUCUAUUUCACAUUGUUGUGAGAAUGAGCAAAUUCUUAGUAAGUAAGUGCUUAUCAAAAUGACUGCCAACUGGAUAAGGUUUCACCAAUAGUAGCCAUUAGGACAGUUGUCACUAAAACACAUCUACUGAGUACCAAAACGUGCCAGAAAUGUGCUAGGUACCUAGGGUAAAGCAUGGUUAGGGUAAGGCAUCUGCUUUCCAUGAGCUCCCGACCUGGUAGGGAAGACAGAUAAGGUAACAGAUGUAAAUAGAUUGUCUCGCGGAACCGGGGUUGUAACUUAGUGGUAGAGCGUUUGCCUCACCCAUAUGAGGCACUGGGUUCGAUCUUCAGCACCACAUAAAAAUAAAUAAAUAAAGUAAAGGUAUUGUGUCCAUCUUACAGCUAAAAAUAUUUUUUAAAAAGACUGUCUUGCAAGU